rnacentral:rRNA from 1 species
CAGAUCAUCUCCAAGAAGAACCGCCGCGAGAUCUGCAAGUACCUCUUCCAGGAGGGAGUCUUGUACGCCAAGAAGGACUACAACCUGGCCAAGCACCCCCAGGUCGAUGCCUCGAACCUCGAGGUCAUCAAGCUCAUGCAGAGCUUCAAGUCCAAGGAGUACGUCAGGGAGACCUUCUCGUGGCAGCACUACUACUGGUACCUGACCAACGACGGCAUUGAGUUCCUCCGCACCUUCCUCAACCUGCCGUCUGAGAUCGUGCCCAACACCCUCAAGAAGUCCGCCAAGCCCCCGUCCCGCCCCUUCGGCUCUGGCCCACCGGGUGACCGCCCCAGGGGUCCUCCUCGUUUUGAGGGUGACAGGCCCAGGUAUGGUGACAGGGAUGGUUACAGAGGAGGCCCACGUGGUGCUCCAGGUGAUUUUGCUGGUGAGAAGGGUGGAGCUCCUGCUGAGUACCAGCCAGCUUUCAGGGGUGCUGGUGGUGCUGCCAGGCCCUUUGGCCGUGGAGGCGGCGGCGGCACUUUCGGUUCUGGAGCUACCAUGGAGUGA